UCCACAAUCUCCAGCCAAUCAGGGCCUUUCGUGGGCCGCCUCCUUCCCAGAGGCUCUAUCGCACAAAGGAAACACACACUCACACUCAAGCAGUGGAAAGGAGUCUUUUAGUGCAAAGUCUAUAACGAUCAGAAGUCACAUGCUAAAGACUACGCGGGAUGGGGUGAUUGAUUGAUUGGUAUUUGGAGACCACCCAUUGAAAGAUGGCUUACAAUUAAAAAUGUAAGAGGAAAAUCCGCAACGUUGAGCCAAAAUAAAAAGAACCACACACUCCAGAAAACGAUUGCCAGCGAGGAAGAACAGGCUCAGGACGACCGAUAAGACGGGGAAAGAGAGGACAGGGAGUGGAACAGAGGAGUUAUGGAGCUCUGGUGACGAGCAAGGACCGCCCCCUCCUGAUCCCCAAACACGGAGAGUGGAGAGGAGGCGGGAGCAGCACAGGCUGACCUGACAACUCGGGAGGAAAGCGCCCCGCCCCUCUUCACAAGACUCACUUGGAGACUGAGACUUAAGGAGACGCUGUUGGGAGGGGCGCUUGUCGGGAACAAAUGUUGAAUUCUUGGAGCCUUGAGUGCCAUUGCCGAUGUCUGGAGUUUGCUGUGCUUCGUUUUGUGUGCCUUGCCCGGUUUGCCUGCCUCACUGGACUUCUUGCCUUGUUUGCCACUUUGCUAACUUUAUUUGCUGGACUACUCGCAGCCAGAGUCUGUUGGAGGUGCGUGUGAGAGCUUUUGCUCCAGGCAGGACUUGCAGGAAAUGUGGGAAUGUUUGGGGGAAAGUUGGAGCAAUAAAGGGGGAGUUUGAACUGUU